GUGGUCGUAGCUCAGUUGGUAGAGCACCAGGUUGUGGUCCUGGGGGUCGCGGGUUCAAGCCCCGUCGAUCACC
rnacentral:tRNA from 1 species